CACAACGUGGACUGAAGACCCUGAGACGUGCUGCAGGCCUCAGAGACGCAAGCACACAAUGGUCUCAUGCCUGGAGUCUGCAGCAGCUUGGAGAAAAUGUCUCCCUGAAGUGCCCUUCCCAGGGAUCUGCUCGGUCUCGGUUCAGCUCAAGACCGACUGACUCACACCUGGAGAACCAGCCGCGAGUAGCAUCAUCAUCACUAUGACCUGACAUCAGAUGGCCUGCCGAAGAGAAGCAGUCCCAGCCGUC